UCAUGAAAUGACUCUCGGCAACGGAUAUCUCGGCUCUUGCAUCGAUGAAGAACGUAGCGAAAUGCGAUACUUGGUGUGAAUUGCAGAAUCCCGUGAACCAUCGAGUCUUUGAACGCAAGUUGCGCCCGAAGCCAUUAGGUUGAGGGCACGCCUGCCUGGGUGUCACAU
rnacentral:rRNA from 1 species